rnacentral:rRNA from 1 species
AGAGUUUGAUCCUGGCUCAGGAUGAACGCUAGCGGCAGGCCUAAUACAUGCAAGUCGAACGGUGCCUUCGGGCACAGUGGCAAACGGGUGCGUAACGCGUAAGCAACCUGCCCUCUACCGGGGGGAUAGCCUGGCGAAAGCCGGGGGUAAACCCGCAUGGUUCCCUUUUCACCACCUGGUUGAAGGGAUAAACAUUUAUGGGUAGGGGAGGGGCUUGCGUCUGAUUAGUUAGUUGGCGGGGUAACGGCCCACCAAGACGGUGAUCAGUAGGGGUUCUGAGAGGAUUGGCCCCCACAUGGGUACUGAGAUACGGACCCAACUCCUACGGGAGGCAGCAGUAGGGAAUAUUGGGCAAUGGAGGCAACUCUGACCCAGCCAUGCCGCGUGCAGGAUGAAGGCGCUCAGCGUCGUAAACUGCUUUUAUCUACGAAGAACGGUAGAGACGAGUCUUUGUGUGACGGUAGUAGAGGAAUAAGCACCGGCUAACUCCGUGCCAGCAGCCGCGGUAAUACGGAGGGUGCAAGCGUUGUCCGGAUUUAUUGGGUUUAAAGGGUGCGUAGGUGGCGUCUUAAGUCUGGUUUGAAAGCAGGCGGCUUAACCGUCUGAUGUGGCUGGAAACUGGGAUGCUUGAAUGCGUUGGCGGUAGCCGGAACGGGUCAUGUAGCGGUGAAAUGCAUAGAUAUGACCCAGAACACCGAUUGCGAAGGCAGGCUACUACGACGUGAUUGACACUGAGGCACGAGAGCAUGGGUAGCGAACAGGAUUAGAUACCCUAGUAGUCC